AGGCUUUGAACCCAGGCUUGGGCAUCUCCAGGGUCUGGCACCUGCUGCGCUUAGCCAGCACCAAGGAAUCCAGGUCAGGGGUGUAUUUAGUUGGAAAGGCCAAGGGUACUGCUGACGAAUUAUAAUUAGCAUGGAUACGUGGUCAGACCCUAAGUAUCGUCUAUGGCUUUUGUAAAUGCUCAUCCACUUCAUAAUUACUCCAUGGAACUGCAUGCCAGCCACGAACGUGGUCACCUUUAAUCACCUUGGGCUCUGCUGAAGACUUAAUUGCAAAGGAAAAGAUGGGAUUUUUCUUAACCACCUCCGUGGUCCCUCAUAAGACCAGUACAGGGGCCACAGUUUUGGAAAGUAACAUCCGGACACAAGUGGAGCUGCGGGAACAGAACCUGGCCGUGGUGCAACCUGACCUUUUCCCUUUCCUUCCUUCCUUGGACAAUUAUAGUUUCAUCCGCGUGUGCUUUCCUCAAAGAUGCUAUUUAAAGGGAAACUACAUCUACUUGGCUCAAAUCAUCCCUGUGAAAUUGACACUUCUAUAGUAUUUGGUUUCAAUAAGACAAAAAUAAACACAAAUUAUAUCCAUU
rnacentral:lncRNA from 12 species